GGUGCGCACUAUUAUCGGUUGCAAGUUGAAGUCAUUAACACAAAUCGGCAAUUGACCUAUUAGUCGUAUUCACGAUUUUAGUUGUUUUAUAAUGCGGCUGUGUCCACCGGGGUGACUCUCGCGAAUCAACUGGAUUCUCUAGACUAUUAGUGCUCUCGUGACGGUGUGAGAGACUGUCGAGUUAAGAAAUCUCAAAUAUCUGAUAUAACGAAUCGAGAAACUUUACACGGAUUUAUAUUUUAUUAGGGUGAUACCGAAUGCGCGGUAUUUCUUAACU